UCAGAACUUAUAAUGAAAUUGUUCAAAAAGAGAAAAAAAAUCAUUGUAAAAAUAUAACUUAAUAAAAAAAAUCAUUGUACAAAUAUAACUUAAUUUAUAUAUGGGUGGUGGGGUACGUUGUAGUACGUUUAGUUUACUUUUUGUCUCACGCUACAGUAUCUGAUCUCACCGCCAACGUUGUUUUUUACACUAACCGCAAAUAAACACAUCCAAACCCACCCAAAAUAAA
rnacentral:lncRNA from 1 species